rnacentral:rRNA from 1 species
AGUGAUAUGCUCGUCUCAAAGACUAAGCCAUGCAUGUCUAAGUGUAAGCCUCUACACGGUGAAACUGCGAAUGGCUCAUUAAAACAGUUAUGAUUUUCUUGACAACCUACGCUACAUGGAUACCUUUGGUAAUUCUAGAGCUAAUACAUGUCAACAGACCCGACGUCCGAAGGGUUGCGCCUAUUAGAUACGACACUUACUGUCUUCUGGCAGUCUUGCUGACUCAUAGUACUCAGCGAAUCGCAUGCUUCGGCAGCGAUGUGUCAUCCAAAUUUCUGACCUAUCAGCUUUCGACGGUAGGGUAUUGGCCUACCGUUGCUUUGACGGGUAACGGAGAAUUAGGGUUCGGUUCCGGAGAGGGAGCCUGAGAAACGGCUACCACAUCUAAGGAAGGCAGCAGGCGCGCAAAUUACCCAAUCCUGAUCCAGGGAGGUAGUGACAAGAAAUAACAAUACUGGACCUUUCAGGUUUAGUAAUUGGAAUGAGAACAACCCAAAACCCUUAUCAAGUAUCAAU